rnacentral:rRNA from 1 species
CAGUCGCCGCGGGAAUACAGAGGGUGCGAGCGUUAAUCGGAUUUACUGGGCGUAAAGCGUGCGCAGGCGGUUUGUUAAGACAGAUGUGAAAUCCCCGGGCUCAACCUGGGAACUGCAUUUGUGACUGGCAAGCUAGAGUGUGGCAGAGGGGGGUGGAAUUCCGCGUGUAGCAGUGAAAUGCGUAGAUAUGCGGAGGAACACCGAUGGCGAAGGCAGCCCCCUGGGCCAACACUGACGCUCAUGCACGAAAGCGUGGGGAGCAAACAGGAUUAGAUACCCCAGUAGUCCCUGUCUCUUAUAC